rnacentral:rRNA from 1 species
GGAAAUUGUGUGAUUUCACGCUGCUGAAAAAAGUUUCGUAGGAAGAAAAUAUUGCCCGUACCGCAAACCGACACAGGUACUCAAGUGGAGAACACUAAGGUGAGCGAGUGAACUAUUGUUAAGGAACUCUGCAAAAUGAGUCCGUAACUUCGGAAGAAGGACUGCUGGUUUUAUACCAGCCGCAGCAAAUAGGCCCAAACAACUGUUUAUCAAAAACACAGGUUUCUGCAAAAUCGUAAGAUGAAGUAUAGGGGCUGACGCCUGCCCAGUGCUGGAAGGUUAAAAGGAGGACUUAGCUUCGGCGAAGGUCUUAAUUGAAGCCCCAGUGAACGGCGGCCGUAACUAUAACGGUCCUAAGG